rnacentral:rRNA from 1 species
ACGGAAUAGAUACCCCGGUAGUCCACGCCCUAAACGAUGUCUACUAGUUGUUGGUGGAGUAAAAUCCAUGAGUAAACGCAGCUAAACGCGUGAAGUAGACCGCCUGGGGAGUACGGUCGCAAGAUUAAAACUCAAAUGAAUUGACGGGGGCCCGCACAAGCGGUGGAUUAUGUGGAUUAAAUUCGAUGCAACGCGAAAAACCUUACCUGGCCUUGACAUGUAACGAACUUUCCAGAGAUGGAUUGGUGCUCGAAAGAGAACGUUAACACAGGUGCUGCAUGGCUGUCGUCAGCUCGUGUCGUGAGAUGUUGGGUUAAGUCCCGCAACGAGCGCAACCCUUGCCAUUAAUUGCC